rnacentral:lncRNA from 1 species
UAUACAAUGAUAAGGGGCACCUCAGGAGGAAGAUAUUUGGGGCUGGAGCUAAAAUGGUGUUUCUUACUUUUGUGAAUUUAAGGUAUCUGUUGGAUUCAGAUAAAUGUUGUGUAUGAAUAUUCAGAUGAAUGUUUGUUGUGUCUGUGGUUACAGAACAUAAAAAGGUUUGAUGUAAUGAGAGAUUUACAAACAUAAGUGGAAAGUGAACACAUGAAUAUGAAUGAAGUUUUGAGAGGGUUGAACAUGUAUGUGUGAGACACUAGUAUUAAAGAGGAGUACAGAGAAAGGAAAAAUAAAUAAAUAAAAUGGCUAGGAAAAAAAAAAAAAGAAAGAAAAAGAGCAACAUUGUCAUGAAAGACCAUGAUGGAGAGAACUUCAAAAUAGAUGUGUCCCCAAAGAUCAGGUCCUGCACAGAGGCUGAGAUAAGAACACAUAUAGCUAUCCUGAAUUAAUAACAAAAAGGCUUUUGGUGACCCCCAAAUAAUAAUUUUAAUUAAAUGGUAAGAAAAGAGCCAUAUUAGAGAACUGAGGUGUUAGUGAAUGAGAAUAUUAGAUGUGGAAAAGUUUAUGAAAUCUAAUCCUUCCGAAGUUUCUCUCUGAAAGAAGGAAAAGAGUAAACUAGAAAUCUAGAAUCAGAAAACAUUCCGAGAGACAAAAAUAAUACGAGAAAGAAUUUGAGAAAUUCUGUUACAAUGUUGUAAAAUACUCACCAAAUGCCUCAUUUGGAAGAAAAUUUAGAGAUUCCCUGCAACCUUUUCCCACACAUAAUUAAGAUCCAAAGAGGAAAAGUUACUUAGUUUUUUAGACAAGUAAACUGAGGUCUAGAACCAAACUGAGGAACGGGACUUGGGUCUCCACAACAAUCGUGGUGUUUCUGGGCAAUCGAACAGUUGUUAAAGUUUUGUUUUAUUUUGUCUCAUUUUGUUUGUGUGUGUGCGUAUUUGUUUUGUUGUUGUUAAGAAACAAUUUGAUGUCCAUUACCAUUGGUCAGCAUAGUUCUAGGAAAUUACUGUUCUCAGCAAUUUAGAGAACAAAUCAGGAUCUGUGUAGCAUAUUAUCUGAAGUGAUGGUCCUGGGAAGGAGAAGGAAGCGGAUAUUCUAAACAUCUUUUUCAACUGAUUUUAAGGUACCUUCACUGCAAUGAUGUUGAUUUUGUUUUCUAGUUUCUGUUACGUUCCUGUGACUGUUCAGUUAUAUAUUUUUCUUUACUUUAAUCACUUGCCAUGACAAAUAUUUUGUCUUCUAAGGAUACUUCCACCAAUUAAUGACGGUAUUCAUCUAUUACUUUUUCUUCUUUAAAAGUUCUUCUCCAAAGAUGAGCUCUAAAAGCAUCACACAUUGGGUAGCAUAGAUUUUCCUUUAAAUUCCUUUUUUUUUUUAAAUCAGUUCUGCUACACAUUUCUACCUAAAUAGGAAAAUUUAGUCACUGUUUAUGUGUGCUACAUCUUAAGACAUUUGAAAUUCCAUAAAAUGGCAAUACCUCUAUAAACCAGAUGCUCUGAGAACAGACGUGGGGUCUGAUUCCUUCAGCGCUGAUCAUCAGUCUCUAGCUCCCGUCCUGGAACUCAUGAAAUGUAACUGGAUGACAUAAUGACCAAGUGUUCCCCCAAAGGUGGAAAUAUAAGCAUCAGAAUAUGGGACAUUUUAGCCAGUGCAUUUUGCAAUAAAUUUACAUGAUCUGUAUGUGGCUGUGGUGAAUUAUUUAUCACUAGUAUGAAUAUUGGUCUCAGUUUGCCCAGGACAGCCCCAGUUUUUUAUACCAAUUGUUCUUAUGUCUGGCCUGGUUUAGCACUAACUUUCAUUUUCAAAAAUAUCUGUUUUUAACAGUAAUUUAUGUACUCAUCAUAUUCAUUACCUGUUCUCUCCAGCUUAAUCAUUAACUAAAAUCUUUCUUCCUGUAUUUUCUUAUAUUUUGAAUAAUGUUAUGUAAAUUGAAAACAACUUGCAGCAGUAGAACUGGACAAAUUCAGACUAAAAUGUAUAUGAAAAGGUGAAAAGUGAAAAUUGGAAUUUUUGGAUUAGUAUAAAAAUAUACACUUUUGCUUUAUCUGAAUAGCUUAGAAAAAUAUUUUGAUUGUGUUUUAAGUGUUGUGGGAGUGAAUUUUUAUUUUCCAUAUUCUCUAAAUCAUAUAGAGUCAUUAGAAAAAACAUAAAUUAUAAAAAUGCAGACAGGAGGAAGUAUAUAGAAUUUGGAAUUUAGAAAAUCCUUCUGUGGGCAUUCAAAAUUUUGAAUAUGAAAUGGAGUGCAAAAGACAUGUGUGUUUUACACUCCAAAUAAAAUAAAGCUCCAGAAGAGUGUACAGAAGUUACUAUACUUGAGAAAAGUUACAUGACAUAUUAUAACAAUCCUCUCCUUGAUGACAAGAUGCAAAGGGGAUUACAGUGUAGUAAUUUAAGGUUUAAAUUAGAAAUGAGUAAAUUUCUGUGGCUUUACAUUUUUAAAAUAGUAAUUGGAUUAUAAAAUUUUUCAAUCCUAGUCAAAAAUGUAUCCAGGCCCAAGUGAGCUGGUAUGGGCUAUCUAAGUAGAUAUGGACCCCUACUGACACCCACUGCCUAGAAUCCACAGUUCAGUCGAGGAUUAAAGAGGCCAGCUAAAGUCAGACACCAUUAGGGUUUUAGGGGAGGUAACAAAAAUUGCUCUAUAGAAUCAAAGGAGUAAACAAUGGUUGUUCUUAUUUAUCAUGAAUAUGUUGAUUUUGAAUAAUGUUAUGUAAAUUGAAAACAACUUGCAGCAGUAGAACUGGACAAAUUCAGACUAAAAUGUAUAUAAAUGUAUAAAGGCUCCUAUUUUCAUCGAGCCUUUAGAGAUGAAUGUCAAUGAGUAUAAUCAGUAUUCUAUAUCAUACCUACAAUGUUCUAGGUGCUGAUUAGACAUUUUAUUUCAGAUGACACCAGCAAAUAAUUAAACUACAAUUCUGCUGUUAUAGAUGAGGAAAUUCAAUCAGUGUUAAGGUUACUAGAAUCAGAUGGGUUUUUAAUAGCAGAUUUGGCGAUUCCAAUUAUUCCUGUCUUACGUAUGCUCUGAUGAAUAUUUUGUAUACAAUAUUGACAACUGGAACAAUUUCUCUGGAAUAAAUACUUAGCAGAAUUUCUGAGUGACUGGGUAUUCUUACUUUCAGUGUUCCUGGGAACUGAAGAAUAACUCUCCAAAAAUAAUUCUAUCAUUUUUGAAACUUGCCCAGCUGUGUAAGAAUACAUUUACCUCUUAUACUUCUUUCUCCACCUCAUAACACCUCCUAUUAUCUGACUGUUGUUCUAGCUUGAGAAAAUUAAAAGUGAAGUUGAGCAUAUUUUCAUUUGUUUUUUGGCCAUUCAGACACUUGUUUUUGUGAAUUUUCUGUCAAUAUCACUGAUACAGUUUUUAACUUGGAUGGUUUUUUGGAUGACUUACCCUUACUGAUUCAUAGUUAUUUAUAUAUUCUAAAUACUAUUACGCCAUAUGCAUUGCAAUUACCUAACCUGUACUUAUAGUUAACAAUGUAUUGUCAAAGUUAUUGUGUUUUGUUUUCUUGCUCAGGGCUUUAAAUUAUUUAUAGGUAUAACUUACUAUAAAGUUCACACUUCCCACAAUCAAGGUAUAGAGCAGCUGAAAAAAAAAAUCCCUCAUAAUCCUUUAAAGUCAAACCCUUCCUAUAGCCUUGGCUUCUUGGAAUCACUGACUAAUCUGUUUUUGGUCUCUACAGUUUUGUCAUUUCAAGCCUGUCAUAUCAAUGUAAAUGGGAUCAUAUUAUACAGUCUUUAAGAUUGAGCUUUUUUCACUUAGAAUAAUGUGUCUAAGAUACAUUUGUGUUGUUACGUCACGUAGUUCAUCAUUUGUUAUUUUUGUGAAGUAUUCUAUUGUAUGGAUGCAACAAAAUUUAUUUAUUUAACAGUUGAAGGAUAUUUGAGUUGCUUGAAUCCAAAUGGAACUGGAAUGCUUCCUACAGUUGUAUGGGUAACCAGAUGUCCACUGGGUCCAUCAUAUUUAUGACCAACAAUAGAAUAUGGAGUUUAUGAACUUUAUGCAUAACUUGGGCAGCUACAUAAAAUAAACCUAUGCCUUUUUUUUGCCAAUUUUCUUUAUUGGGCCUUAUGCUCUUACUAGACGUGAAACUGAACUUAUAUUAAGCAAUAAAGGGAAUAAUUCUAUGCCUGGGGAACAGAAUUUCAUAAAAUGAAUUGCUUUUUACCAAAUGCAUGGCUGAAGUUAAAAAAACAUAAUAAACAUUUACUAAAAUAUCAGAGUUUUUCUUGCAAAAACAUUAAAGCUAUCACAAUAUUCAGCAGAAGCUGGAAGUCAUUUCGAGAGGAGAGAAUAUAUGCUUUGAGAAGGGAAAACAAAUUAUUUCCCUAUGAACAUAUUUCUAAAGUAAUUAUGUGAGAUGAUAGAUAAGCUGAGGCAACUUUUUAAUAAAUGUUAAUUUAUUAAUUUUAUAAUUAUACUUCUAUUUGAUUAGGGAAAAUCAAAGUUGUUCUAAAAGAUAACCCACAUUUCUAAUCUACAUCUAACCAGGCUUUUAGUUCUGUACUUAAAGGAAUCUUUAAUAACAGUUCAUUUACAAUCUUUUUAGAAUUCUUACACUUUGAAUUUGUUUAUUCAAUUUCUUCUAAAAGUGUGCAUUGUGGGGUUCAGAGAAAACAGGUCAUGAUAUUCUAUCAGAUAAGCUUUUGAAAUUAUGGUAAGUAUAAAGUGACAAGAAAAUUUAGUUUCUCUUUACCUGAUAAGAAUGAAAUAAAAACCAGCAAUUAUUUUAACAAGCAACCAUAAAUACCCUAUGCUUUUGAUCUUGAAAUACAAUUUUAAGAAUUUAUCCUUUAAUCUAAAAUAUCAUCUGUUGGGGAGACUGUGGUGAGGCAGUGUUUCAGAGUUGGGUG